CCCCUGGUGGUCCAGUGGUUAGGACUCCAUACUUACACUGUCCAGGGCCCAGGUUCAAUCCCUGAUUGGGGGA
rnacentral:tRNA from 1 species